rnacentral:rRNA from 1 species
AUGAAAAGCAACAGCAGCGAGCGGCUCCAGGAGAGGGACUGCUCGGCAAAGGUCAUGGAGGCAGGGUCGGCCGGAGCUUCGAGCUCGGCGUCCAUGGUAGGACGACGAGGAGGCCGGAGGAGGAGGGCCAUGGAGGAGGCGCAGGAGUCCCGCCAGCGAGGAGAAGCAGAGGCUUCAAGGCGGCGGAGGUCGCCGACAGAGGGACCUGGCGUGGGGGUCGAGCAGGGAGCGAGAGAGGAGGAGGCAAAGGAGAUCGGGCGCUCUCCCUGGCGUCGAUGUGUGGCGGCGGCACAGGAACGAGGGGGGAGAGAUGGGGAUCGGGAGAGAGCGUGGCUGCGAGGCUAG